rnacentral:rRNA from 1 species
GAUGAACGCUAGCGGCAGGCUUAACGCAUGCAAGUCGAGGGGUAUAGUUCUUCGGAACUAGAGACGGGCGCACGGGUGCGUAACGCGUAUGUAAUCUACCUUUUACAGGGGGAUAGCCCAGAGAAAUCUGGAUUAAUACACCAUAGUAUGUUGUUGUGGAAUCACGAGAACAUUAAAUUUCCAACGGUAAAAGAUGAGCAUGCGUCACAUUAGCUAGAUGGUAAGGUAACGGCUUACCAUGGCUACGAUGGGUAGGGGUCCUGAGAGGGAGAUCCCCCACACUGGUACUGAGACACGGACCAGACUCCUACGGGAGGCAGCAGUGAGGAAUAUUGGACAAUGGGCGCAAGCCUGAUCCAGCCAUGCCGCGUGCAGGAUGACGGUCCUAUGGAUUGUAAACUGCUUUUGUACAGGAAGAAACACUCCCUCGUGAGGGAGCUUGACGGUACUGUAAGAAUAAGGAUCGGCUAACUCCGUGCCAGCAGCCGCGGUAA